UCUAAACCUGGCGGGUGGUAAUCAAGUCGGAGACACCUCCAACAACAACACCACUGGUACCAGUUCUACGGUCGCGGUGCCUAAGCCGACGGUAGCGGCAGCGUCGAGCCGUGUUUUCGGUGGAAGUAGCUGUGGAAGCUCUAAAAGUAGUGAUUUAUCAAGCACGAGUGGCGGAGGAGGAGGCAGCACUACGCAUACGACCAAUAACAACAACAGCAGUGAUCCGGUAGUACCGGUUGGUGCAGCUGUAACGGCGGCCACUCGCAGACUCGGAGAACGAAACCAUGUCGAACUGCGUUGAUGGAAUCUACCCCACGCUGGACGAGAGUCGCUCGAGACGUUUUGGUGGUGGCGGCAGAUGGAUCGCGGGAUACUAUCUACAACUACGAGUGGGGAGUGUAUCGACGAGGUAAUCCACGCGUUCAACGGCUGCACCGACAUCCCGAUUGCCCUGCAGCAGCCAGGACGCGUACGCGUACGCGAACCUAAUCGGUAUGAACUUGUUCUGCAAGGACGUGCUAGGUUGGCAACCAGCACCAGCCGUUGACGUAUGUGUUCGUCGAUGCCGACCGAUGACGACGCGGUAACCUGAGCCUGGCUGACGACGAGCAGUGUGGUUUCCGGCAGGCAGCUGUUGAAGUCAGACAGGAUGGUCAGUUGAUAACGUUCGACUACGAAGAAGUAGAUCGUGGAAGAAGAUGGUCCCGUCGGCGAUCAUGUUGACCAUGUUGGAGUGCGGCGGUGAAAUCUAGACCACGUUGGACAAAUCGCUCAAGACGCUCGUGGCGACAGACGAAUCGAAGGAGAUUUCCAAGCGUGAGGCGUUGCUGCCGCAGUCGGACUGGAUUGCAGGACCGGACCGCGUCACAGACACGCGCAACGUAGACUUAAUGCAUCCCGAAUGACAUGAAUGGGAUUGAAAGCAGUUCGUUUUUUUUAGAAAUUUAGGAAUCACCUACUAAUUAGAAAACAAAAAAUAAGCAAACAAAACGCUUAAAACAAUCUUAAUUCUUCUCUAACGUUUUAAUUUAAUUCUUCUCAAUAAAACUUAAUACUGUUUGAAACGUUGUAUUAGAAACAUCUUAGGAAAAGUUUACGGCAAAAAUCACGUUCUUAGAACAAGUCCUGUAAUUUUAGCAACUGUUGAGAGUAGAGUAGACAGUACGCGCCACCAACCGGAGUACAGUGUCCCUAAGUAACGCGGGUAGGUGCACAGUAGUCACAACGCCCACGACCUCCACUGCCAACCGGCCGUUGACGCCGCGUGCUCUGCGUUAAUCAAUGUUGAUUGUAGUAAAUAUACUCUUAAGGAUAUUUCAAGGAAAUAAAAUUUAUUUAAUCAACAUCCCCCAGCCCCCAUAUUUUAUUAUUGUUUUCAAUCUUCACCUAAUUUUUCGAAUUUGUUGGUAAAAUCCGGUACAGCUUGUACGUAUCGAAAACCUCCAGUAUUUGGCACUUCGAUUACUCCACUGAUUCCAGCUUGUAACUAUCAACUCACCGACGAUGUCGGGAACAAAACCGGGUUGUUCCUCUCGUCACUGUUGUCAGCGUCCUUAUACCGACUCAACGUAGAGCUGUUCCGGCACCAUUUGCUCAAGCUCUCCGUCACGAUGACCGUGCUCUGCACCAUGCCGAGCUUGGCUGCCUCCCGGAUCAGCUCGUAGGUGACUCCAGAUAAGAUUGUUUUCGCGUGCUGUUAGUUUAUACGAGAGAUCAAAGUAGUUGAGCAGUUAACGUAGUAACGGAGAGCUUGUUAUUUUUACAAAUAAACUAUUAACCUGUGAACCCUUA